rnacentral:rRNA from 1 species
AAUGGACGGAAGUCUGAUGCAGCAACGCCGCGUGCGGGAUGACGGCCUGGUUGUAACGCUUCAUCCAUGACGAAGCGAGAGUGACGGUAGUGGGAGAAGAAGCACCGGCUAACUACGUGCCAGCAGCCGCGGUGAUACGUAGGGUGCGAGCGUUGUCCGGAUUUAUUGGGCGUAAAGAGCUUGUAGGCGGUUUGUUGCGUCGGAAGUGAAAACUCAGGGCUUAACUCUGAGCCUGCUUUCGAUACGGGCAGACUUGAGGAAGGUAGGGGAGGAAUGGAAUUCCUGGUGAAGCGGUGGAAUGCGUAGAUAUCAGGAGGAACACCGGUGGCGAAGGCGGUUCUCUGGACCUUUCCUGACGCUGAGAAGCGAAAGCGUGGGGAGCAAACAGGCUUAGAUACCCUGGUAGUCCACGCCGUAAACGGUGGGUAC